AAGGUGGCGAUCAACGGGUUCGGGCGCAUCGGGCGCAACUUCCUGCGGUGCUGGCACGGGCGCGGCGACAGCUCGCCGCUGGAGGUGAUCGCCAUCAACGACACCGGAGGCGUGAAGCAGGCGUCCCACCUCCUCAAGUACGACUCCACGCUGGGCAUCUUCGACGCGGACGUCAAGCCCGUGGGCGACAACGCCAUCUCCGUCGACGGCAAGGUGAUCAAGGUCGUGUCCGACCGCAACCCCUCCAACCUGCCGUGGGGCGAGAUGGGCAUCGACCUCGUCAUCGAGGGCACCGGCGUCUUCGUCGACCGCGCCGGCGCGGGCAAGCAUCUCGAGGCCGGAGCCAAGAAGGUGCUCAUCACCGCGCCCGGCAAGGGCGACAUCCCCACCUACGUCUGCGGCGUCAACGCCGACCUCUACACCCACGCCGACACCAUCAUCAGCAACGCCUCAUGCACCACCAACUGCCUCGCCCCCUUCGUCAAGGUCCUCGACCAAAAGUUCGGUACGUGCCCGUCUCCCUCCCUCUCUCUCUCUCUCAACUGAAUCAACUUGUUGACGAUGACUAAUGGCGGCGGUGGCAAUGGCGCAGGC
rnacentral:lncRNA from 1 species